rnacentral:rRNA from 1 species
AUUGAACGCUGGCGGCAGGCUUAACACAUGCAAGUCGAGCGGGGUGAUGGUGCUUGCACUAUCACUUAGCGGCGGACGGGUGAGUAAUGCUUAGGAAUCUGCCUAUUAGUGGGGGACAACAUCUCGAAAGGGAUGCUAAUACCGCAUACGUCCUACGGGAGAAAGCAGGGGAUCACUUGUGACCUUGCGCUAAUAGAUGAGCCUAAGUCGGAUUAGCUAGUUGGCGGGGUAAAGGCCUACCAAGGCGACGAUCUGUAGCGGGUCUGAGAGGAUGAUCCGCCACACUGGGACUGAGACACGGCCCAGACUCCUACGGGAGGCAGCAGUGGGGAAGAUUGGACAAUGGGGGGAACCCUGAUCCAGCCAUGCCGCGUGUGUGAAGAAGGCCUUAUGGUUGUAAAGCACUUUAAGCGAGGAGGAGGCUCUUUUGGUUAAUACCCAAGAUGAGUGGACGUUACUCGCAGAAUAAGCACCGGCUAACCCUGUGCCAGCCGCCGCAGUAA